rnacentral:rRNA from 1 species
UACAGAGGGUGCAAGCGUUGUUCGGAAUUACUGGGCGUAAAGCGUGCGUAGUCGGUAUUGAGAGUCGCGGGUGAAAUCCCAGGGCUUAACCCUGGAACUGCCUGCGAGACCUCAGUAUUAGAGUGUGAGAGGGGAUAGUGGAAUACCAAGUGUAGCGGUGAAAUGCGUAGAGAUUUGGUAGAACACCGGUGGCGAAGGCGGCUAUCUGGCCAUGUACUGACGCUGAGACGCGAAAGCGUGGGGAGCAAACAGGG